AUUGAACGCUGGCGGAAUGCUUUACACAUGCAAGUCGAACGGCAGCACGGACUUCGGUCUGGUGGCGAGUGGCGAACGGGUGAGUAACAUAUCGGAACGUAUCCAAUAAUGGGGGAUAACGAGUCGAAAGAUUCGCUAAUACCGCAUACGACCUGAGGGUGAAAGCGGGGGAUCGCAAGACCUCGCGCAAUUGGAGCGGCCGAUAUCAGAUUAGGUAGUUGGUGGGGUAAAGGCUCACCAAGCCAACGAUCUGUAGCUGGUCUGAGAGGACGGCCAGCCACACUGGGACUGAGACACGGCCCAGACUCCUACGGGAGGCAGCAGUGGGGAAUUUUGGACAAUGGACGCAAGUCUGAUCCAGCCAUGCCGCGUGCGGGAAGAAGGCCUUCGGGUUGUAAACCGCUUUUGUCAGGGAAGAAACGCUCUGGGUUAAUACCUCGGGGUAAUGACGGUACCUGAAGAAUAAGCACCGGCUAACUACGUGCCAGCAGCCGCGGUAA
rnacentral:rRNA from 1 species